UUGAACGUCCCAAAAUCCUGGGGCGACGGAGACACGUGCCUCACCCUCGCGUCACCACAUGUGUCACCAUGCGUCACAUCCCGACCACGACGAGACAACCAAUUUUCAGGCUGGUGAUACAUGUGGAGAC